rnacentral:lncRNA from 1 species
ACUGAUGAAGGUCUCGUAGCGCAGCACUUUCUCCCCCGUGGCCUCCACCGCCCGCCGCUUAGGGGGCGUCGCCAUGAUGGGCUCCUGGGGAGUGGGGAGGGGGAAGACCAUGUUGACCGAUCCAGUUUGGCCUCACACACAGUUCAUCUCUACCCUCUCAACGCUGGGAAUCGGCUUGUCCGGCUCAAGCUGGAGGUUCAGCCUUCCGCCCCUCCCAACUCGGGGACCCGACCACCCAGGGACACCCAAGCGCGGCCUUUACCUCAGGCCGCCAGCAAUAAGAACGGUUGGUAGGAACCGCGGCUUCCGGGUGGCGCGGGUGAAUGACGUAAGUGGCAAGCGCGCUGGCCAACCAAAUAGCCAGUUGGGGAGGGGCGGGCCUGAGUGGAAGAAGACGGGCCAAAGGGGAGAAGAGAAGGGCAGGGCUUCACGGAAUCCGAGGAGAUCAAAGAAGACUAGGGCGUGCGAGCAGGGGCCGUCUGGCAAUAAACCGGCCAAUGGGGGACUGCAAAAGCGGCGCCUGGAGCCUAUGGAGACCGUGUGUGGCUGGUGGGGGUGGGAUUUAAUGGGAUUUGGCGGGUUCUAAGGUAGGCGCGACGCACAGGUGGAGGUAGAGGAAGUGAAGAGUUUAAUAUUUAAAAGGACCUAAAAAUUGACUAUGGUUCUGGUCUAUAAGGAAGAUCCCGUGUGAUCUGUCGGCCUGGAUAUUGAUUUUUCACACGGGAGGUUUGGAUUUCACUCCUGGCAAUGGGACUGAGUAUAAGCAUUUAAAAGGUUUUAAACAGAGACAGGUUUUCUAAAAUUCAUCUUUGAUAACUCCAGCUCUGCACUCGCAACCCAUAAGUGAGGCUCAAGUGGAAAUUGACAACACUCUCUGUCUAAUCACCUCGUUUGAUAGUCAAAUGGAGAGGGUGGCUGAAGUCCUCUGCCGAAGAUUGGCCAUCUUGUAGUUAGGCAUAGUUCCCAUGUUUUUAUUUAAAUGGUAAGGUUUUUGUGAAUUUAUUCUUAUGCACUAGAGUGACUGAGUGAAUUUAUUUUUCAGGUUAGAUUUUCAAACAAGAACUUAUAACCCAGCAAGAAUGGGCCUUUGCCUGGAGAAGAAUCCAGACCAUGGGAUGAAUCCCCAAAUGCUAUUUCCAUCUGUAGAGCCUAGAGCACCCACCCCUACCAAGGAAGUCUUCCCAGAUAAUUUGUGUUUCAUAUGUAAAAGCAAGUUUUUUUUUUCAAAUGCUCAAAACCCAAGCAAGUUAAGCCCUUCCUUCCUUCCUUCCUUCCUUUCUUUUCUCUCUCUCUCUCUUUCUUUCUCUCUCUCUCUCUUUCUUUCUUUUUUUUCUUUUUUAGACAGGGUCUGUGUCCCCUAGGCUGGAGUGCAGUGGUAUGAUCAUGACUCAUUGCAGCCUCAACCUCCCAGGCUCAAGUGAUCCUCCCGCUUCAGCCUCUGGAGUACCUGGGACUACUGGCAUACACCACCACGCCCAUCUAAUUUUUAAAAAAGUUUUUGUAGAGACAGAGUCUCACUAUGUUG